UACAGAGGGGGCAAGCGUUGUUCGGAAUUACUGGGCGUAAAGGGCGCGUAGGCGGCCCGCUAAGUCGAACGUGAAAUCCCCGAGCUCAACUCGGGAACUGCGUCCGAUACUGGUGGGCUUGAAUCCGGGAGAGGGAUGCGGAAUUCCAGGUGUAGCGGUGAAAUGCGUAGAUAUCUGGAGGAACACCGGUGGCGAAGGCGGCAUCCUGGACCGGCAUUGGCGCUGAGGCGCGAAAGCCAGGGGAGCGAACGGG
rnacentral:rRNA from 1 species